UAGGGUACCACAUAUCUGCGGGUCCACC
rnacentral:piRNA from 1 species